CGGCAACAGCUCAAAUUUGAAAUCUGGCCUUCGGGUCCGAAUUGUAAUUUGCAGAGGAUGCUUUUGGCGAGGUGCCUUCCGAGUUCCCUGGAACGGGACGCCUUAGAGGGUGAGAGCCCCGUACGGUUGGACACUAAGCCUCUGUAAAGCUCCUUCGAC
rnacentral:rRNA from 1 species